rnacentral:rRNA from 1 species
AGAGUUUGAUCCUGGCUCAGGAUGAACGCUAGCGAUAGGCUUAACACAUGCAAGUCGAGGGGCAGCACUUCGGGUGGCGACCGGCGCACGGGUGAGUAACACGUAUGCAACCUACCCAUAACAGGGGGAUAGCUCGUCGAAAGGCGAAUUAAUACCGCAUAAAGCAGGGGAGUCACAUGAUUCUAUUUGCUAAAGAUUUAUCGGUUAUGGAUGGGCAUGCGCAGGAUUAGGUAGUUGGUGAAGGUAACGGCUCACCAAGCCGACGAUCCUUAGGGGAACUGAGAGGUUUAUCCCCCACACUGGUACUGAGACACGGACCAGACUCCUACGGGAGGCAGCAGUGAGGAAUAUUGGUCAAUGGUCGAGAGACUGAACCAGCCAAAUCGCGUGAAGGACGACGGUAUUAUGUAUUGUAAACUUCUUUUGUGAGGGAAUAAAGUGCAUCACGCGUGGUGUUUUGUAUGUACCUUACGAAUAAGCAUCGGCUAACUCCGUGCCAGCAGCCGCGGUAAUACGGAGGAUGCGAGCGUUAUCCGGAUUUAUUGGGUUUAAAGGGUGCGUAGGUGGGCAGAUAAGUCAGCGGUGAAAUACUUGAGCUUAACUCGAGAACUGCCGUUGAAACUGUCAGCCUUGAGAGUGAACGAGGUAGGCGGAAUUCGUAGUGUAGCGGUGAAAUGCAUAGAUAUUACGAAGAACUCCGAUAGCGCAGGCAGCUUACCAGGCCACGUCUGACCCUGAAGC